ensembl:lncRNA
CAACUUUAUUUGCUUUUUAACAUGGCCAUUCUGAUAUUUUGCUGAGACCAACAAGAAAAAAAUUUAAGAAUUUAUCUCUUUUAACAAAUAUUUUUCUUUUUUUUUUUUUAAAGAUUGGCACUUGGGCUAACAACUGUUGCCAAUCUUUUUUUUUUCUGCUUUAUCUCCCCAACCCCCCCCCCCCCCAACUAAGAGAUACACAGUUGUAUCUCUUAGUUGCAGGUCCUUCUAGUUGUGGGAUGUGGGACGCCGCCUCAAUGUGGCCUGAUGAGCGGUGCCAUGUCCGCGCCCAGGAUCCGAACCCUGGGCCGCCGCAGCGGAGCGCGUGAAUUUAAACCACUUGGCCAAGGAGCCGGCCCCGAUUUUUCUUCUUGAAUGAAUGAAGUCAUCAACCCCUCAAAUAUUUGAAGCAUGCCCCCAAAUCCGAUCAGGUUUAACUGUAGGCAAAGAAUGUAAAGUGCUGAAACUUUCCCUUCUUUUUAGCAAACACUACAACAAACCAGGUUAAUCUCAUUAGGGCUUAUUAAAGGAGAUCUCGGAGGGAGAGAUUUCCUCACUCCCUCAGGUGGGAUGGACGGCCAGACACUGUGAAACUCCAGACUAGCAUUCUCUGCCCGGGUGGUAUACCCCAAGUUCACUUAACCUUCAGUUUUCCAUAAGGAGUUGGGUUGGCCAAAUUCUUUGUUCUCAAGAUGCCGUGUCCCCAGCAUUUAGAUACCAAAGGGAUUCGAGGAUCUCUCUCUCAGCUUAAGUAAACACUAGGAGUCAGAUCAAUGUUUCCUGUCUAUGGAGAAUUAAGGAAGCAGAAUUUUGAGCUGAGGACCAAACCUUAGAGACUGGAGAUUGAAGGAUCCUGUGGCCCUGAGGCCCUGGCUGGACUCCCCCUAAUCCCAUCCAUCAAGACUUUGACAAGCAUCAGGACCUGGAAUCUGAGAAAUGGUUUAUUGCAGGAAAACUGAUGUCCAGAGAAUACAAGAAACUAAAGUUUCCCAGACCCCACCCCUCGGAGUCCUGGCACCUGAAUCACCAUCCAUCAUGGAGGCAGACAACCAAGGACGCUCACCUGCAGAUUCCCUUAUCUCACCGACCCUCUCCCUGCACAUAGUCACGUUCCUCACAACCUUUAAAACCUCAUGCCUCCUGUCUUUCCAGAAGACGGAUCUGAGUGCUUACUCCCAUAUCCUGGCUGGCAUCACCGAAAUAAACCUCUUUCCUUGCCACAAGCCUGGCGUUCCAAUUUUUGGCCUCCUCUUGUGCUGUGGGUGGAUGAAGCUGUGUUUGUGUUUGGUAUCAUGGGUACCUCAAAUAAGUGGAAUCAUACAGUAUUUGUCAUUUUGUGACUGGCUUAGUUCAUUUAGCAUAUAUCCCCAAAGUUUAUCCAUGUUGUAAUAUGUGUCAGAAUUUCCUUCCUUUUUAAGGCUGAAUAAUAUUCCAUUGUAUGGUUAUAUCACAUUUUGUUUGUCCAUUAUCCGUCAGUGGACACUUGGGUUGCUUCCACUUUUUGGCUAUUGUGAAUAAUGCUGCUAUGAAAAUAGGUAUUUCAUUUUGUUUAGUUAGAACCUUGAGAAGUUGUUCCAGAAAAAUCACAGCCCUGACAGCAAAGUUCUCAUGAUACCCUAAGUGGGACUGAUUUAUAUAUAUUUUUAUUGUGGUGAAAGACACAUAACACAAAAUUUACCAUCUUAAGCAUUUUUAAGUGCACAGUGCAGUGGCAUCAAGUACAUUUACACUGUUGUGCAACCAUCCUCACC